rnacentral:rRNA from 1 species
GGCUACGGCUCAACCGUAGUAAGCUCUUGAAACUGGGAGACUUGAGUGCAGGAGAGGAGAGUGGAAUUCCUAGUGUAGCGGUGAAAUGCGUAGAUAUUAGGAGGAACACCAGUUGCGAAGGCGGCUCUCUGGACUGUAACUGACGCUGAGGCACGAAAGCGUGGGGAGCAAACAGGAGUAGAUACCCUGGUAGUCCACGCUGUAAACGAUGAGUACUAGGUGUCGGGGGUUACCCCCCUCGGUGCCGCAGCUAACGCAUUAAGUACUCCGCCUGGGAAGUACGCUCGCAAGAGUGAAACUCAAAG